GGCCUGAUGGUCUAGUAGUAUGAUUCUCCCUUCGGGUUGUUGCCGCUCGUUAUUUCGAGUUCAUUGGGAGAGGUCCCGGGUUCAAUUCCCGGUCAGGCCC